AUGAACGCUGGCGGCGUGCCUAAUCCAUGCAAGUCGCGCGAACAGACGAGGAGCUUGCUCCUCUGACGUUAGCGGCGGACGGGUGAGUAACACGUGGAUAACCUACCUAUAAGACUGGGAUAACUUCGGGAAACCGGAGCUAAUACCGGAUAAUAUAUUGAACCGCAUGGUUCAAUAGUGAAAGACGGUUUUGCUGUCACUUAUAGAUGGAUCCGCGCCGCAUUAGCUAGUUAGUAAGGUAACGGCUUACCAAGGCAACGAUGCGUAGCCGACCUGAGAGGGUGAUCGGCCACACUGGAACUGAGACACGGUCCAGACUCCUACGGGAGGCAGCAGUAGGGAAUCUUCCGCAAUGGGCGAAAGCCUGACGGAGCAACGCCGCGUGAGUGAUGAAGGUCUUCGGAUCGUAAAACUCUGUUAUUAGGGAAGAACAAAUGUGUAAGUAACUAUGCACGUCUUGACGGUACCUAAUCAGAAAGCCACGGCUAACUACGUG
rnacentral:rRNA from 1 species